CACCCUGGCACUAAGUUGAUUUUCCCUGCUAGACUUCCAACAAGUUUGUCAACUUCUUCAGAGUUUCACAGCCAAGUUCGGGAUGGAUUGGCGUGGUUCCACUGAAGCAUAGAGCACCAGAGUAU
rnacentral:rRNA from 1 species